GACGAACGCUGGCGGCGUGCAUAAUACAUGCAAGUAGAACGCAGUUGCGAACGGGUGUGUCACGCGUAGGAACCUGCCUGGUAGCGGGGGAUAACAGUUGGAAACGACUGCUAAUACCGCAUACUGAAGGAGGGGAUUGCGUCUGAUGAGCUAGUUGGAGGGGUAAAGGCCUACCAAGGCGACGAUCCGUAACUGGUCUGGGAGGCUGAUCAGUCACACUGGAACUGAGACACGGUCCAGACUCCUACGGGAGGCAGCAGUGGGGAAUAUUGGACAAUGGGCGAAAGCCUGAUCCAGCCAUGCCGCGUUUGUGAAGAAGGUCUUCGGAUUGUAAAGCACUUUAAGUUGGGAGGCGUUACCAACAGAAUAAGCACCGGCUAACUUCGUGCCAGCAGCCGCGGUAAUAC
rnacentral:rRNA from 1 species